GGGUUGUCAACACCGGUCUGGAUGACGUCAUCCACGGUGAAGCCACUGGGGGUGGACUUUCCCCUCAGCUUUCCGUAGAUGUCCUUGGUCAGCACCUACAGCAGAUAACACACAGUGCAGGCAGAGGUCAGAAGUCGCUUGUGUCUGUCAGUGGAGGUGCAGUAGAUCGAUGACACCUGGUGCACCGAAAGGUCAAAGCCUGCAUGCCUCACAGAUGGCUCCACAAGUUCCAUGACUAAAUCAAGCGCUCCUAAACUAUUCAAAGACAAGACACACCUCAAGUCUGUUCUGCUGGGGUCAGCAACAGCUGACAGAGAGUCACAACUGUUGGAGUGACACUACACCGCUGCAUACUUAGCUACGCCUUAAUCAGCAGACUGUUGCUACCCACAUCCAAGAGUCAAGACAUUCACAGAAAAAACUGCAUUCAAGCUAAAGUGUGCAUCGACAGAAACAUUUUUCCUUGUCAUGAAAAAUGUGCAAAGCUUCAGAGGAAUCCAUGCCGAAAACGCAAGAAGCAAAUUCAAUUCAUUGAGUUUUCAUGGCUCAGAGUUCAGCAGUGGAGUGGAAUCUGUCAGAUUUUUGGUUUCCCUCAUAAGGCAAUUUUGUUUUCAUGACGUUUGGUCAGGGAGAAGUAUUAGUCCAUAGUUAAAUGUAAAAAUCACCACAAUAUUUCCCAUGGAACCAUCAAAAAGACUAACUAAAGCACUGAGUUGCUUUUUACCUGCUUAGGAGAAAAGAAAGAGGUAACAGAUCCCGGGAUCAGAUCCUGUCCACCAAAUGUAGGGGUUGCCCAACUCUGCCAGGUGAUGGACUUAAGUAUUUAUACCCAGACCUCGGUCCCUAUUGGUUGACCGGGCCUGGGGUCCCCUCAUUCGAUUGGUCACACGGAGUCUUCUGUGCCGAGUUGAGUUUCUAAAAGGAAAGAACGAACAUCACACAGCACUCGAGAUGAGAGACAAGGCAACAGCUGCAGUCGCCCAGUCCAACCUUUCACCUUCUGCCUGCUGGUAGCUGCUUUAUAGCAGCCUGCUGGAAAGAACACUGCAGAAAACGCAUGCAUCCUCAAACAUUCUUACAUUAGAUGCGUGCAAAGUAAGUCGUGAUUGUUGUGUCUACCCUCAGAGGUACGUCGCUUUGGAUAAAAGCGUCUGCUAAAUGAAACUGUAGAACAGUAGAAUAAUUGCAUUGUAGUGGAAUUAGAGUCACAUGUGGGCUUUCACCAAGGUUUUAACCUUGACCAGUGUGAAAGUAAAAGUAGAUCAAGAGUGCAAAUCUCAAAAUCACGUCAUGCAAAAAAUAGCCAUGAUGCACAUUUAAUAUCUACAGUAAAAUAAAAUUAAAAACACCAUAAAGGAUUGUCAUUUAAUUUGAUUGUAUUUGAACUACAUGAACUCAGUGCCUUCCUUUACAUCUGCUGUCUCUGUCUUUUAAGAUAUAACAAAUAUUUUUAAUUUUAAUCAUGCUAUUAAAUGAGUGAUACACUCUAAACAGUGAAAAAAAUAAUAUUAAUUAAACAACGAAUGAAUAAAAUGUAACCCCUACCCCCACCUCAGCCUGCAAAGUAAGGAAAAAAGCAUUAAAAACCACAUAAAAAUGAGGAGAAAGGGUAUUUGAAUUUAAUUAUACUUCUAUAUACAGCAUAUUAAAGUGCAGUAUUUGUUGUAGUGUGAAUCUGAUGCAAUUUUUAUGAAGUAUUGUGAUAGUAUGCUGUGUUGUUUUGGUCAGGGAUCAGUCUUUUAAGCUGAUUUCACCUGGACUGCUGUGAUAUUACUGUAUAGUGCAUAUAUAUCCUUGUUUCGUACGUGUUCCCUGUGAAUCAGUGAUGCAGAGUAGCUGGAGUUCUGUCUGUCAUCACAUUUGGGAGUUAAAAUAACCACUUUGUCUUGGAUUACAUCAUCAUAAUAUUGAAGAUUACAGAUUGGAUUUCAGUGAACCGCGGCGCUCUUAGCAACCAGUUUACUAAACGGAGGUGUCUGCUUGUGUGUGAAAUGUCAUGCAGUGAAGCAUAGUGACAGGCUGUUCAUACUCAAAACAUUUGGCAAGUCAAAGAACGGAAAACUCCAAUGUCUCUCUUUAUGUUUGUUUCAAAAUGUGGGAGAAUUUCUUUCUUAGUAUGCAUUUUUCUCAGAAAUUAAUGGAUUUCACUGAAUAUCGGUGCUUGAUGCAUUUCAGGUCCAGUCCUGAAAAACUGAGUGACCAAAAAAGAGACCAGUGAGGGAGGCCACCAAGACACCUAAGACCCUCUGAAGGCGUGACAAACUUCAACAGCUAAAAUGGGAGAGACUGUUCAUUCAACAACUGUUGUCUGUUCUUCACCAGUCAAAGCUUUAUGGCAAAGUGGAAAAGAGAAAGUCACUGUUGAAAGAAAGCUUAUGUUAAAUCUCAGGUAGAGUUCACCAGAAGGCAUGUUGAGACUCUGAAGUCAACUGGAAAAAGGUUCUUCAGUCUGAUGACACUAAUAUUGAGAUUUUUGGCCUUCAGACUAGACACUAUUUUUGGUAGAUACCAAACACUGCAAACACAACACAACCAUUCCCACCAUGAAGCAUGCUGGUGGCAGCAUCAUAAUGUAAAGCAUGGUGGUGGUAGCAUCAUGAUGUGAAGCACGGUGGUGGCAGCAUCAUGAUGUGAAGCAUGGUGGUGGCAGCAUCAUAAUGUAAAGCAUGGUGGUGGUAGCAUCAUGAUAUGAGGCACGGUGGCGGCAGCAUCAUGAUGUGAAGCAUGGUGGUGGUAGCAUCAAGAUGUGGGGAUGUUUCUCAACAGCAGGCCCAGCAGGCUUGUAAAGGUAGCUUUUACGCUUGUGCUGUUGACAUGAUUGUGAAUUGAGAUGAAUCUUCAGUAUGUAAUGAUAGGACUUACAGUGAUAAACAUUUAAAUGAGCAUAUUUUGUAACAGAAAGAUGUUAAACUGCUGGGUAUUGUUGAAGGUGAAGAUAAACUGGAAAUGGUUUAGCAUUGACUGUGACUUGAAAAGAGGUGUGGUAAAGCAUCAGGGCCCUCAAAAAACACAGUGCAAGAUUGUAAAGGCCCAAUGGAAUCUAUGUGGCGCUUGCCUCAGAUCAUCCAGGUGGUUAUUUCAGUUCAAUCUUGUGCUUUGCUGUGGCCUUUAGGUUCUUUUUUGGAUAUGCUUACAGUUAUUGUAGUAUCAUACGUUUACAUGCUAUGCAGACAACAAUCGCCUUUAUAUACAGAAUAACUUCUCCUAGUUUCUAAACAUAUAGAUGUACUGAUUCAAAGCAAAUGAUGCAUAUUCCUUUAUUUUACUGAAGAUGUGUAAUUAAUAGCUUGUCACUGUUUUAUUUCUGCGAAUAAUCAAUGCAGGAAUGCUUUUUGUGGUGCAGAAUUGUGUACUCUUCUGCACAUAUUCCCAUUUAAUACGCAUACUGCAAGUUUGUCCGGUUACAUUUGCGGUUGUAUCCAUCCUUUCGGCUGGCUUUUGCAGCUUUAAAUCUGCAGAUACAUGUUGUGUUCAUGAGUGUGGGGAGUCUCAGCUCCUUUGCUCUAAAUCAACACUCGGGCUCCAGUUUCACAGCUGUGCCCUGACCAUCCACAGAGAUGACUUCCCAAAUUAAUCUUCCUCCAUGUCGCUACAUGUUGCUCACCCACCGUGAACUCACUCUCACACGAGUGAACGCACACCUACUUAUUACCGUAACAACCAAUAACAGGACACGAGCCUGUGCUGAAUAAUGCGCGCAACCAGGAACAGAUAAUCUCUUAAUUAGUGAGAGAAUAUUAACAUCCAGUCACUGAUCCCUAUAAAAUAUAAAUCCUUCAAAGUAAAGAAUAAAGUGACACAUCAAUUUUUUUUGGAAAUAUUUUCACCUUUCAUGUCUGAUCAAAGUACAGAAGGUAUAAAUACUCUUCAUGAACAGCCCAAAAGGGUGUUUCAACUCUAUAUUACAUAUAAAAGUACAAUUUUGCCCUCAGUGCAUGCCUAAAUGCAAACCUCCAGUCAAUAAAACUCAAAGGUCAUGCUGACUGACGUGUGAUAUGUGCUGUGUGCGUCUUCUGCCCAUUCAGACCACUUAGUUCUGUAGCUCGAAUGCCACUGUGGCUCAGAUCCAGUAUCCCAGUUUAGACUGUUACCUUAUCUCCCAGUGCUACCCCUCCUCCCACACACACACACCCAUAUCACCCCCCACCGCCGAGCCAAACAGCCCCAGAACCCUGCAGCUGCCCUGGGGAAACAGGCACCAAGGACAGUUAUGUAAACCAGUAACACUGUGUGAAUCAUUUAUAAUGAUUAUCUGAGUCUCAUGAGCAGAAUGUGCCAAAGAAAAAAUCAGCUCAAUACUUGGGGAGUGGGUUAAUGCAUACUAAAUGACACGUUAUUGAGCCGCAUGCAUGUUCUAGUGUUUGUUUUCUGGAGUUUGCGUGAGAAUAUGUUGUUAGGAGAUGCGUUUUAUUGCUUCCUAGGCAGCAAGCCUGAGCUGUGUUGGUGCAGUUUGCAUGUGUGCAUCCUUACUUUCACAGUCCAUUACAAUCCAGUGAAACAGCCCUGCAUUGAUGGCAUCUGUGAAGCUGAUUUUGUAGCAUUUUUGUUGUAUUAAUAUGUGGUGUGUUUCUGCCUCUCCUUUAAGUCGCAUUGUGUGUGUAAUGACCCACACAUGAAUACAGAAUCAUACUAAAUAGUUCAAGAUAACCAUUGUCUAAAUGAGAAAUCAUAUUUUACAAGUUGCUUGUUUCUGUUUUAGUCUUGAUUUGCACUUUGAUUCCUGGAAACAGUUGGAGUCUUUGAGACAUAUAUACACUAUCGUUCAAAAGUUUGGGUUCACCCAGACAAUGUCAUAUUUUCCAUGAAAACUCACACUUUUAUUCAACAUAACUGCACAAGGGUUUUCUAAUCAUCAAUGAGCCUUUCAACACCAUUAGCUAACACAAUGUAGCAUUAGAACACAGGAGUGAUGGUUGCUGGAAAUGUUCCUCUGUACCUCUAUGGAGAUAUUCCAUUAAAAAUCAGCUGUUUCCAGCUACAAUAGUCAUUUACCACAUUAACAAUGUCUAGACUGUGUUUAUCAUUCAUUUAAUGUUAUCUUCAUUAAAAUAAAACAGCUUUUCUUUCAAAAAUAAGGACAUUUCUAAGUGACACCAAACUUCAGAGAGAAUCCUCAGAACUGAUGCUUGCAUGAACUGCUGCUCUGUCGAUGUCACUUGUCCUGAUAUCAGUAAACGUUACUCCAACCUAAGUCAUCUGAGUGUCUAGUCUCUCUCUGUGUCUGCCUCCUCAUCCUCUCUCGGCCUAGCAGAACUUCCACAACAC